rnacentral:rRNA from 1 species
AGCGAACGCUGGCGGCAGGCCUAACACAUGCAAGUCGAACGGAUCCUUCGGGAUUAGUGGCGGACGGGUGAGUAACACGUGGGAACGUGCCCUUUGGUUCGGAACAACUCAGGGAAACUUGAGCUAAUACCGGAUGUGCCCUUCGGGGGAAAGAUUUAUCGCCAUUGGAGCGGCCCGCGUCUGAUUAGCUAGUUGGUGAGGUAACGGCCCACCAAGGCGACGAUCAGUAGCUGGUCUGAGAGGAUGAUCAGCCACACUGGGACUGAGACACGGCCCAGACUCCUACGGGAGGCAGCAGUGGGGAAUCUUGCGCAAUGGGCGAAAGCCUGACGCAGCCAUGCCGCGUGAAUGAUGAAGGUCUUAGGAUUGUAAAAUUCUUUCAGCGGGGACGAUAAUGACGGUACCCGCAGAAGAAGCCCCGGCUAACUUCGUG